CGGAGCAGUCGGCCUCCUCCCUCCGCGAGCUGGACGCUCCGCAGCCCGCCCGCCAGCCGGCCCGCCGGCCGCCGCAGGAAUCCCUGGAUAAAGACCAGCUCAACCAUCGCUGAGAAAACAGACCUAGGCUUCCCAGGGCGGUUAACCCGCCGGCCUCUGGGCAGAGACUAAAAGACAAAACAAAAUAAAACAACAACAAAAAACUCCCAGUGUGUUUCCUACUCUUCUUUGUCUUGGAGGAAAGCAAAGGGAGAGAAAUGGACUUCACCAGUGGUCUUUGGCUUCAUCAAUUCACAGGAAAUGGCAUCAAGAUGGUUCAACUAAGACAUGAUCACUAAAAACAUUAUAAUAAUACCUUUUUGAAAAACUCAGUUUCUCCUGUUUACUAAAUAUUUAUUUCAUCAACAUGGGCUGCGUUCCACUGUGUCAGGAUUCUGCAUGUGGGUGGAGCACUGUUCCAGCCUGAGAAGAUGGUUCUGAGGCCACUUAGCAAGACAUUUUCCAGCAUGAGCAGGUUUCUCUGUGGAAAUAGUGACACCUGUUCUGGUGUGUUGUCUUUCCUCAGGGAACUUAAGGGGUACAAAGCUCCUGAAAAUGUUCUUUAUGCUGGUUGAAGCUCUUAUGUCGCUGUACUGAUUCCCUACGAUGCAGAUUUGAAUCACAGAGUAAUUAAAAUAUGGAUCAAAUAAGGCUGGGGCUCACCAAGGCUGAAAGCUGUAGCCAUUCAAGGCAUCAUUUCUGUCAUGAAAAUAUAGGACCUUUUCAAAACAUGCCUUCAGGAAGGUGUUCUCUUUUCAAACAAAAGUCUAAUGACUGCAUAACUCUUCUUGACCACAUCUUACACUUUCUCUAGACUUGCUUAUUUACAGCUACUGGAACAAAAAGAUGAAAUGAAUAAAGCACACUGAUUGUCCUAAGAGUCUUCUGUGACUAAAAGCACAUGAGCUUCUCCCCAGGCUGAGCUUUGACCCUCCCAAGCAUUUCCCCAAAGGCCAUGACACUGCAUCAGAUUGCUCCUGGACACUUUCCUCAGAGUUUUCAACAAAUAUAAACUGAGGAGUGGAGCACAGCACCAGAUUUGCUAAUCAAGAGGCAAUGGUCCCAGUCCAAAUGGGUGCUGUGUGUGAAUACAGAGCCCAGGAGAAGGGAAGGAGGUCUGUGAACAUCAGGAAUUGCAAAAUCUUGCUGAACCAAUAGACCAACAGCCAUUAACAUUUGUCAAUGCAAAGAUCCUAAAAUAUACAAGUGUGGAGUUGUCCUGCCCUAAGAGCUGAAGCUGUGACAAUCACGCUGCCAUGAAAAAAACGCUUUCGUAUAUUUUUCCUGCUGGGUGGUCAGAAGGAAAGGCCGUGAAGCUAAAGGUCUCCCACUGAGACGCUGUUCUGCAAGGAGCCGACCUCACGUGCCGCCGCCGCCAGAGAAGAGAGCACCUGUUCAUCUCGGCUCACUGUGAGGCUGAGCUCAGCGCUGGCAGGCGAGGGGCCGCAAGCAUCCCCCACAGCCACCGAGAGGGCAUCCCUGCAGGGAAAUCAUAUCCGACAUGCCUGUGCCCACAGCAGACUUAAGACUGCCUCUAAAAUGUCCAUGAAGCCAUUGUCCAGUAGAGCUGUUAGUUUUAACACCAGUGAGUAUUACCUUUGGUUAAAAGGAUGCAUGUGUAUAGGUGUAUGUGUGUGCGUGUGUGUUUGUGUUUUUGGACUUGUGUGGAGAAUGAAGAAAGGGUUCCAUUUAGGCAUUUGCAAAUAUUCGAUGGCAUCAUGAAAAGACAAAAAAAUCCUAUAAAAUAUAUCAUAUUUUGCUAUGAUUUUGUGUGUACAUGUAAUAAAAUUAUUAAGUAUAAA
rnacentral:lncRNA from 1 species